GACGAACCGUGCGAACGUUAUUCGGAAUCAUUGGGCGUAAAGCGCGUGUAGGCGGCUGAGUAAGUCUGCUCUGAAAGCCCGGGGCUCAACCCCGGGAGGCGGGUGGAUACUGCUCAGCUCGAGUCCGGAAGAGGAGUGUGGAAUUCCUGGUGUAGCGGUGAAAUGCGCAGAUAUCAGGAGGAACACCAAUGGCGAAGGCAGCACUCUGGGCCUGUACUGACGCUGAGGAGCGAAAGCGUGGGGAGCGAACAGG
rnacentral:rRNA from 1 species